rnacentral:rRNA from 1 species
UACAGAGGUCUCAAGCGUUGUUCGGAUUCAUUGGGCGUAAAGGGUGCGUAGGCGGCGCUGUAAGUCGGGUGUGAAAUUUCGGAGCUUAACUCCGAAACUGCAUUCGAUACUGCGGUGCUUGAGGACUGGAGAGGAGACUGGAAUUCAUGGUGUGGCAGUGAAAUGCGUAGAGAUCAUGAGGAAGACCAGUGGCGAAGGCGGGUCUCUGGACAGUUCCUGACACUGAGGCACGAAGGCCAGGGGAGCAAACGGG